UGUUCUUUAUCGUUCUUCUUCAUCUAGAAUUUUCCCUCAGCUCAGUUCCCCAUCUCCAGCGUCUUCGUUGUCUUCUCUGUUGGGUCUCACAAUGUUUAGGAGUACCGGUGAUACAUUUGUCCUAGCAAGCACUUGAACCUUUGCAACCCUUUCAUGGACCAUGACCCUUUCCACUGAAACAAUAAUUAUGCCUCAAUUCCCACACAAGUCUUCUCUUUGAUUGAGAAAUUGCUGCAAUUCAAGGGGCUUCAGGGCUGAAAUGUUAUUUUUGCUUGAUUUCGUGGAGAAGGAGUUGGAGAUGGAGAGAAUCCAAUAUGCGAAAAGCAAUAUGCUUUACAUGUUCGAUGUCACGCCCACGUGCCUCCUGAUUGUAAUGGUUGGGUUUGGGUCUGCUUGUUGGUUGUGCUGCGUGAGCCUCCAGACACCUCCAAGCAAGCAAAGUUUUCGCGGUAAUUACCGCGCUUGAAAAAAACUAAAAAAUGUCUGCUAAAAUGAUUGUACAUACCUAUUUAGUGAAGCUUUAUCCUUUGUUUUUAUUUUAUGAUGUAACUUCUUUUGAUUCACGAGAGCAAAUACAAAGGAGGAAAUAUUUUUUGGUAGUGCAAAGUUCUUGCAAUA